GUCUCGGUAGUCUAAUGGCUUAGAACGCUCAUACGGAAUACAAGAGACUUCGGGUUCAACUCCCGGUCGAGAUA
rnacentral:tRNA from 1 species